UAGUCCACGCCGUAAACGAUGGAUACUAGGUGUUCGGAGUAUUUAACCCUCUGAGUACCGUAGUUCACGCAUUAAGUAUCCCGCCUGGGGAGUACGGUCGCAAGGCUAAAACUCAAAGGAAUUGACGGGGGCCCGCACAAGCGGUGGAGUAUGUGGUUUAAUUCGAAGCAACGCGAAGAACCUUACCUGGUCUUAACAUUUAGCGACAACCUCAGAGAUGAGGCUUUCUCUUCGGAGACGCUAGGAUAGGUGCUGCAUGGCUGUCGUCAGCUCGUGUCGUAGGAUGUUGGGUUAAGUCCCGCAACGAGCGCAACCCUUACCCUUAGUUGCCAGCAUUAAGUUGGGGACUCUAAGGGGACUGCCGGUGUUAAACCGGAGGAAGGCGGGGAUGAUGUCAAGUCCUCAUGGCCCUUACGAUCAGGGCUACACACGUAUUACAAUGGCAGAAACAAACCGUCGCGAAGCUGCAAAGUGGAGCUAAUCGGAAAAACACUGUCUCAGUCCGGAUUGAAGUCUGCAACUCGACUUC
rnacentral:rRNA from 1 species